rnacentral:rRNA from 1 species
CGAACGCUGGCGGCGUGCUUAACACAUGCAAGUCGAACGCGAAAGUUUUCUUCGGAAAGCGAGUAGAGUGGCGCACGGGUGAGUAACGCGUAAAUAAUCUACCCCUGCAUCUGGGAUAACCCACCGAAAGGUGGGCUAAUACCGGAUACGUUCUUUAGAUUGCGAGAUUUAGAGAAGAAAGGUGGCCUCUGAUAUAAGCUACUGUGCGGGGAGGAGUUUGCGUACCAUUAGCUAGUUGGUAGGGUAAUGGCCUACCAAGGCGACGAUGGUUAGCGGGUCUGAGAGGAUGAUCCGCCACACUGGAACUGGAACACGGACCAGACUCCUACGGGAGGCAGCAGUGAGGAAUAUUGCGCAAUGGGGGCAACCCUGACGCAGCGACGCCGCGUGGAUGAUGAAGGCCUUCGGGUCGUAAAAUCCUGUCAGAUGGAAAGAAGUGCUCUAUGACUAAUAUUUGUAGAGUUUGACGGUACCAUCAAAGGAAGCACCGGCUAACUCC